AGACUUACCCCUACAGCUCUAAGAUGGC
rnacentral:sRNA from 1 species